UACGUAGGGUCCGAGCGUUGUCCGGAAUUAUUGGGCGUAAAGGGCUCGUAGGCGGCCCAGCAAGUGGGGGAGUGAAAGCCCCUCGGCUUAACCGAGGAACUGCAUCCGAUACUGGCGGGCUUGAAUCCGGGAGAGGGAUGUGGAAUUCCAGGUGUAGCGGUGAAAUGCGUAGAUAUCUGGAGGAACACCGGUGGCGAAGGCGGCAUCCUGGACCGGUAUUGACGCUGAGGCGCGAAAGCUAGGGGAGCAAACGGG
rnacentral:rRNA from 1 species